rnacentral:tRNA from 1 species
GGCGCCAUCGUCUAGCCCGGUUCAGGACAAGGCCCUCUCAAGGCCUAGACACGGGUUCAAAUCCCGUUGGCGCUACCA